UCCUGCUUGCAAGCAAUAGUUAGAGACCGAUAUCUGCAGAGAAUUGCUCACGUAAUCUUUUUCUCUUCUAAAUAAAUGUAAACCUUUUGACUUUAAUUGAUCAACGUGCUGGAUCCUUCUCAUCAACCGACUCGGGGGAUCGGAGAUCCCGACAGAAGUGUUGAAUGACGAUAAACUGAAGGGUGAAGCCUUGAAUGACGAUAAACUGAAGGGUCCACGGUUACCUAACCCUUCGAACACAGUUCAGUGCACUAACCCCUGGGCGCCAACAAAUCGUGUUUGGCACCAAAGGUGGAGAUGGGGACCUCCAGCCACAACGACGUGGACCUCAGCUGGAUCCCUCAGGAGACCCUCAACCAGAUCAUGCAGAGUCGCAGAGACAAAGCGUCUCCCAGAAGAUCUCCUCGCAAGAGG